rnacentral:rRNA from 1 species
UACGGGGGGGGCAAGCGUUGUUCGGAAUUACUGGGCGUAAAGGGCGCGUAGGCGGUUCGCUAAGUUGAAUGUGAAAACUCUGGGCUUAACCCAGAGCCUGCAUUCAAUACUGGCGGGCUAGAGUUCUGGAGGGGAUAGCGGAAUUCCUGGUGUAGCGGUGAAAUGCGUAGAUAUCAGGAGGAGCACCGGUGGCGAAGGCGGCUAUCUGGACAGAGUCUGACGCUGAGGCGCGAAAGCUAGGGGAGCAAACAGG